rnacentral:rRNA from 1 species
AGCGAAUGUUUGCGGCGGGCCUAACACAUGCAAGUCGAACGGGCAGGGGCAACCCUGUCAGUGGCGCACGGGUGCGUAACACGUGGGUAAUCAACCCUUGGACUGGGACAACCCGGGGAAACUCGGGCUAAUACCGGAUGUGGCGUGGCGGUCCUCGGACUGCUCCGCGAAAGCUCCGCAAGGGGCACCAGAGGACGAGCCCGCGUCCCAUCAGCUAGUUGGUGAGGUAAUGGCUCACCAAGGCGAAGACGGGUAGCUGGUCUGAGAGGAUGAUCAGCCACACUGGAACUGAGACACGGUCCAGACUCCUACGGGAGGCAGCAGUGGGGAAUAUUGCGCAAUGGGCGAAAGCCUGACGCAGCCACGCCGCGUGUGCGAUGAAGGUCUUCGGAUCGUAAAGCACUGUGGGGGGANAAGAAACAAGCCGGUGAAGAGCCGGCCCUGACGGUAUCCCCUUAGCAAGCACCGGCUAACUCCGUGCCAGCAGCCGCGGUAA